UACGUAGGGCGCAAGCGUUAUCCGGAAUUAUUGGGCGUAAAGAGCUCGUAGGCGGUUUGUCGCGUCUGCCGUGAAAGUCCGGGCUCAACUCCGGAUCUGCGGUGGGUACGGGCAGACUAGAGUGAUGUAGGGAGACUGGAAUUCCUGGUGUAGCGGUGAAAUGCGCAGAUAUCAGGAGGAACACCGAUGGCGAAGGCAGGUCUCUGGGCAGUAGCUGACGCUGAUGCGCGACAGCGUGGGAGCAAACAGG
rnacentral:rRNA from 1 species